CGUGUAGGCGGCCUUGCAAGCCAGACGUGAAAGCCCUCGGCUUAACCGGGGAAGUGCGUCUGGAACUGCUUGGCUUGAGUACGGGAGAGGGAGGCGGAAUUCCCAGUGUAGAGGUGAAAUUCGUAGAUAUUGGGAGGAACACCGGUGGCGAAAGCGGCCUCCUGGACCGAUACUGACGCUGAGACGCGAAAGCGUGGGGAGCAAACAGGAUUAGAUACCCUGGUAGUCCACGCGGUAAACGAUGGGCACUAGGUGUGGGGGGUAUCCACUCCUCCCGUGCCGAAGCUAACGCAUUAAGUGCCCGCCUGGGGAGUACGGCCGCAAGGUUAAA
rnacentral:rRNA from 1 species